rnacentral:RNase_P_RNA from 2 species
CAGGUGGGCCGCUCUAUCGCUCUCUGAAAAGAGGGAGGAAAGUCCGGACAGGGCAGAGCAAGGCUCUGUGGAAAUCACAGCUGGGGGUAACCUUAGGCAAAUCGUAACAGAAAAUUACCGCCUUGAGAAAGGUAAGGGUGAAAACGCGGGGUAAGAGCCCACGAUGAUUUAUGGCAACAUGGGUCAGGUACGACCAGCCUCCUGCAAGGCCAUGUAUACCAGUUUUAAAGGCUGCUCGUCUUAUGCUGGGGGGUAGGCUGCAUCAGAUAAAUGAUAGAGACCUCAUUGAGGUACAGAAUCCGGCUUACAGGCCCACCUUUUUU